GAUGAACGCUGGCGGCGUGCCUAAUACAUGCAAGUCGAGCGAACGGACGAGAAGCUUGCUUCUCUGAUGUUAGCGGCGGACGGGUGAGUAACACGUGGAUAACCUACCUAUAAGACUGGGAUAACUUCGGGAAACCGGAGCUAAUACCGGAUAAUAUUUUGAACCGCAUGGUUCAAAAGUAAAAGACGGUCUUGCUGUCACUUAUAGAUGGAUCCGCGCUGCAUUAGCUAGUUGGUAAGGUAACGGCUUACCAAGGCAACGAUGCAUAGCCGGCCUGAGAGGGUGAUCGGCCACACUGGAACUGAGACACGGUCCAGACUCCUACGGGAGGCAGCAGUAGGGAAUCUUCCGCAAUGGGCGAAAGCCUGACGGAGCAACGCCGCGUGAGUGAUGAAGGUCUUCGGAUCGUAAAACUCUGUUAUUAGGGAAGAACAUAUGUGUAAGUAACUGUGCACAUCUUGACGGUACCUAAUCAGAAAGCCACGGCUAACUACGUG
rnacentral:rRNA from 1 species